GGACACGCCCAUUUGAAGCACAACUGAAGGGGGAUUUUGCAAUGGGGGAUGGAGUGAAACGGCACUUCUUUUCAUUGCUGUUAGACAAGCUCCACACUGGACUGCAACUGGACCUUGACAACUGUGGAGGAAAAACUUUGUUUUUUGUUGGGGAGGAAGACCAUCAGGUUCCCUCAACAUUAAGACCUCUGCUAGAUGGUGACCUCUUCAGGGUAGUGGGGCGAGUCAUUGGUCAUUCCUUUAUCAAUGGGGGCCCACUGCUAACUGGUCUUCGUCAGUGCUUUUUCACUCUUCUAAGUGGCUCCAAAGAUGCCACCCCAAUCCUGGAGUUAAAGGACUUCCCUGACAUCGAUGUAGUUGACAUAGUUUCUCUUCUUGAAAUCCAGAAUGCCCUUACAACCGCUUAAACAGAGGAAGUCAACAACUUGGCCAUCAGCUGGGACCUGCCUACACUGACUGUGACAAACAGACGAUGGUUGGCAGAAAGAAUCCUCCAUCAUGGGAUAUUUCUGGUGCCAAGGUGAUAGGCCGACAUGGGCAGAUCGCACAAAUAAGAAGUGGGCUGAAGGACACAGGGGUGCUACGGCUACUGAAAGGACGGCACGAAUUAGCAACUGUGAUGUUUCCCAGAUGUGCCGAGCUAGUGCUGGAACCAGAGAUGAUCAUUCAAAGAAUAAUUUGGCCAGAAUCAGAGAGUGAUGAAGAAGACAACAUAGAGGACUUCUGUGAGGCCACAUCAUUCUUACGUGAAUACAUUGGAACAGGUGAGAAAUGCAAACUUGCAGUUGAUGUCAAAAGCUCACAAACUUGUAAAUUACAUUGCUAUUUCAAUGACAUGUAUCCCUGUUUUGUCAACAAUUCAAAAUGAAGGAAAAUAAAUUAGAAGCAAAGUUCAUUAUACAAACUUGCCUUUGGUUCCAUGCAAGAUAUGCCAUCUAGUUAUAAUUUCAUGUCAGUAAAAGCAUCCCGUCUGAAGACUGGUCAUUUGACCGCCCAUUUGAGCUAUAAGUUGGGAAAACCGGCUUGGUGCUUCUUGUGUUAAAUUAGAAAAUGUUAUUACACUUGAAGUAAAUUACUCAGUGAAAAUAAUACACACAACCCAGCAUACUUAAGGUGUUUCCAUGU